ACCGUCCUGGUUCAAGGUCACCAGGACACGCUUCUCCCUUUUACGAGGGUGUCCUGAUAUUUUUAAGAUCCACCAGUAGGCAGCACAUCUAUUUUUGUUAUUUAUAGAGCGCCGUGCGUGCGCUGGGGAGCUGGCAGGCUCGUACAGAAAGAAGGCUGGAUUGCAGCCACAGUUUACAGUUUACAACCCCACGAACCAGCCCUGCGUGCAGGACCAGCAUGGCCGUGUCGCCGUACAAACAGCACCAGGCGGUCCGGUGCAGAUAGACAGAUAGGCGUGUGGCCAAGCCACUUGGCCCGAGAGCUCUUGGCAUUGCCCAAGCCAAGCAAACCAGGAGAAAUCCUGAUGGAAGAGCUCUUAGGGAAACACAGAUGCUCUGAGCGCAGGUGUUCCCAAGGCGCUUGGUCCUAUUGACCGGGUAGCCAGUGUCCCAGUGAAGUUCUGGAGGAGGCACAAGUUGGAAACACUGCCGUUAGCCAUGGUGGUAAAGCCUGAGACAGGAGCAAAGCUCUCAAGAGGAGUUGCCUCAACAGCCCCAGGAAUAGCUAGGAAGGUUGUCGGUAGUGGCUAAGGAAAGCAGAUAAGGGGAGAAGAGUCUCAUUAAGGAAGUGGACUCUCUUGAGGGACAAGAGGCCUUGCAGAGGGAUGUAGGUAGAUUGGAGCACUGGGCAAUCAUCAAUGGCAAGAAGUUCAGCAAAGGAAAAUGCCGGGUUCUGCACCUGGGAUGGAGCAGUGCUGGACACAGGGAGUGUAGCCUGUAUCUCUUGUGGAAACAGUGAUUCAAAGGACAGCAAAGGAAAAACUGGACAUUACUGAAGAAGGCAGAUGAGAUUAAAAAAUGUCUAGUCACCGAAGCAUUGAUUAGAGAGGCAACAAGGAGGGAGCAGCUUUUCAUUUUGUCUCAUGGACUAUGCUGGAAGGAACAGUAGCUUCAGACCCUAAAAUCUUCUGACUACCUGU